rnacentral:rRNA from 1 species
UACGUAGGGUGCGAGCGUUGUCCGGAAUUAUUGGGCGUAAAGGGCUCGUAGGCGGUUUGUCGCGUCGGGAGUGAAAACCUUGGGCUUAACUCAGGGCUUGCUUUCGAUACGGGCAGACUAGAGGUAUGCAGGGGAGAACGGAAUUCCUGGUGUAGCGGUGAAAUGCGCAGAUAUCAGGAGGAACACCGGUGGCGAAGGCGGUUCUCUGGGCAUGAUCUGACGCUGAGGUACGAAAGCGUGGGGAGCGAACAGG